rnacentral:tRNA from 4 species
GCCUGCGUGGCGUAAUGGUUAGCGCAUUUGACUUCUAAUCAAAAGAUUCCGGGUUCGAGUCCCGGCGUGGGUUCUA